rnacentral:misc_RNA from 1 species
GAUGAAGAACGUAGCGAAAUGCGAUAAGUAAUGUGAAUUGCAGAAUUCAGUGAAUCAUCGAAUCUUUGAACGCACAUUGCGCCCCCUGGUAUUCCGGGGGGCAUGCCUGUUCGAGCGUCAUUUCACCACUCAAGCCUCGCUUGGUAUUGGGCAACGCGGUCCGCCGCGUGCCUCAAAUCGACCGGCUGGGUCUUCUGUCCCCUAAGCGUUGUGGAAUCUUUCGCUAAAGGGUGUUCGGGAGGCUACGCCGUAAAACAACCCCAUUUCUAAGGUUGACCUCGGAUCAGGUAGGGAUACCCGCUGAACUUAAGCAUAUCAAUAAGCGGAGGA